rnacentral:tRNA from 1 species
GCGGACAUAGCUUAGUUGGUAAAGCGCAACCUUGCCAAGGUUGAGACCG